rnacentral:rRNA from 1 species
UGAGUAACCUGCCCUUAACUCUGGGAUAAGCCUGGGAAACUGGGUCUAAUACCGGAUAUGACUCCUCAUCGCAUGGUGGGGGGUGGAAAGCUUUUUUGUGGUUUUGGAUGGACUCGCGGCCUAUCAGCUUGUUGGUGAGGUAAUGGCUCACCAAGGCGACGACGGGUAGCCGGCCUGAGAGGGCGUCCGGCCACACUGGGACUGAGACACGGCCCAGACUCCUACGGGAGGCAG